CAAACUGGGGUUCGAGGAGGAAAUGUUUAUCUGAUGUGACUCUAAGCAUGUUCAUUAACUGUAUAUUUCCUAUAUUCAGAUCUUGUACUGAAGAAUGCUGCAAAUUGGAAUUUUUGGAAUGUUCCAUGACGUCAUCUGACAGCGGCCUCAAACUAGGGGGAAAUGAAACGAGUGGGGGGGACCGAGGGGGGGGACUGUUUGAGCCAGUGAGCGCCGUCUAUUUACGCUGCUUCAUGAUUAUUAAUGAGCAUAAAACCUUUAAGAGCGUCCAGUGGCGGGAGGCAGGAGGGGGCGUGGCCCCCGGGGCGUCUCGUGCGGGGAGGUGAGGCGCGGCGCAGCGCGGCGCGAACUUGUUUUGCGUGGCUUGAGAGUGAGUGAGUGAGUGAGUGUUGUGCUGCGCGGCUGAAUGUCGGGAUUGCGCUUCCCGUUUGACAAGGAGGAGGAGAAAGAAGGAACAGCCGACACAGACAGACACACAGACAGACAGAGAGAAGCAGAAGUACUCACAGGUCGUAUGACAGGGAUGCGGAGCUCUGGACUCGGCUUCUUGACGGAAUAAAUAAAAGCGCGCGCCAGUGAGGACAGCAGUGACAGCCUGCUAAUAUAUCAACACGGAGAGCAUGGCGUGAGCUGUUAGGAGGAAGAGGAUGGAUGAGUGAGGAUGUGGAGAUGUACCUGAACAAACACACUUUCUCUAAAAAUACUUAACCCAGGCUUUGUGUGAUGCCUCCAGACAGCCCCAAGUAGAAGAAGAGAACCUAGUAGAGCACAGGAAUGGUGUAGUCCCUGUGCUUUGCCAUCUCUCUUUACUAGCAUGCUGUAAUAGUGAGCCAGGAGACCUGCAGGAGAACAGAAAUAACCUCUUCUGUCAGAGGAGGCCUUGCUGCAAAAACAGAUUUGAUUCGCAAGCGUGAAUAUAAAGCUGAGCCACCCAUAUGUCUUAAUGUAGAAUUGAAUUAAGGCUCAUUCAGUCUAAUUUCUGAAGUUUAUGUAAUGAGAAUUAUGGGACUAUGAGAUUUCUGAAGAAGGCAGCUUGCUGUUUUCCAAUAUUUUCCACUGGCAUCUUAUCAUCUUGGUGGCACAAUUGCACAGCAUUGCUGUCUCACAGCUCCAGGGUCCCUGGUUCGAUCCUGAGCUUGGGUUACUCUCUGUGAGGACUUAUGUUCUCUCCAUGUGUGCAUGAGUUUCCUCUGGGUUCGCUUUCCAAAAAAUGCAUAUACGUGGACUGGAUAUGUUAAGUUGCCCAUAGGUGUGAGUGUGUAUGUGCAUGCGUAUUUGUAUGUGUAU
ensembl:lncRNA